GAUGAGCGCUGGCGGCGCGCCUAACACAUGCAAGUCGAACGGUUAAAGCACCUUUUAGGUGUGUAUAAAGUGGCGAACGGCUGAGUAACACGUGGGCAACCUGCCCUCCUCUUGGGGAUAGCCUCGGGAAACCGAGGAUAAUACCCGAUACUUCAAUGUGGCCGCAUGACGACAUUGAGAAAGCUUUUGCGGAGAAGGAUGGGCCCGCGGCCUGUUAGCUUGUUGGUGGGGUAGAGGCCUACCAAGGCAAUGAUGGGUAGCUGGGUUGAGAGACCGACCAGCCAGAUUGGGACUGGGACACGGCCCAGACUCCUACGGGAGGCAGCAGUGGGGAAUCUUGCACAAUGGGCGAAAGCCUGAUGCAGCGACGCCGCGUGCGGGACGAAGGCCUUCGGGUUGUAAACCGCUUUCAGCAGGGACGAGGCGAUAAGUGACGGUACCUGCAGAAGAAGCCCCGGCUAACUACGUG
rnacentral:rRNA from 1 species